CGCUGUAAACAUAAAACGUUUCGUCUAAAUUUUGUAUAACCUCGUACACUAUUUCUAGGUGUACUAUUAAUAUGUGCAAACUAUAGUUACACAGUUUGCCUAUUAAAACAUAUAUAUUUUCAGACUAAAUAGUAUAUUUGAUCCGCAUGAGAAUCCCGUCCAAAAUAUUUCCUGCUCGUUAUCCAUCGUGUUUAAUCGAUAAAUAUAAUUAGUACAAAUUUUUCCACUCGUGUCGCGACUGCCACGAAAUUCGCGUUAAUAAUCGAACUCGCGCCGGUGUUUACCGCGCUUCAGUGCAACGCUCUUUCGCGGCUAUAGAGUGAUAAGAACAACGGAAACGGUCGAGCUAUGAUCAACGUCAAUGAGUAACGGUAAAUUUCAAAGAGACUCUGCGAUCGAGACUCUGCUUCUCAAACACGACGUUCAUGCUCUGUUUUCUUAACGAUCUUGAUUAUCCUUUAUGAGCGUACAAAUUUGAUGAUAACGACAGGUGAUUGUAUCAGCUGUUUCCAUCAACGCUAAGGAAAAUUGAUCAAGUUACCGGGCGUUGUCACCUGUUCGUUCCCAAGAAAAACCCGCUUAGAAACAGCGUACCUACCAUAACCGCAAUGAUUUUGACCGGGUAUGCGGCGUGGAUCGAGAAAAAAAUGGUCGACUGGUUGAUUUUGAUCUUCGUUGAAGCACUGAUGGGGAAUAUUCACUAGUAAUCAAGCCUACGGCAAAUAUUCACUAUAAAACGUCUGAUCACUGUUUCCAUAACCACAAAGGUGAACGUAAACAUACAGCGGGAUAAAGAUUGCGUGUCUUUCACUGGUUAUCCACGAUGUCGCCAUGCGGCUCGAUCGCGAUCUCUUCGAGUUUACUGCGCAUCGCGCUUUAAGAUGGAACGAUGUAAUCGAAUAUCGUAGAAAUUUUUCGUUGAAACGUAGAUGGACAUGCGUUUGUUUAGAAUCGAAAGAUUUUUAUGCGUAGAAUUGUCAACUUGAAACUUCGAACAACGCGCUACCGUGGUAUGCGGCCCGCGCUCUCGCGUGGGUUCGCUUUAUAAGGGGGCAAACGGGCUGUGCAGGGACGAAUAUAGCGAAGGCGUUGUUUAAGGGGCACCGAUGAUGCGAUGAGAGAUUUGAUUUUAUGAAAAUUGAUUUAAAUUAUGAAUGAAAGAGAAAUUUUAAGUUGAUAAUAUAAUAUAUUAAAUAUAAAAAUUGGUAGAACUGAUUUAUAAUUUUCAUUAUUGAAUAUGGUAUAUCAUUAUUUACAAUGUAAUUUACAAUAUAACAUAUUGUUAUUAAUUCCUUUACUUUUUUAAAAUUAUAUGUACUUAAUAUUAUAAUUCAAAUUAGCCUAAUUUAUAUUAUAAAUUUUAUUAUAAAAAUAUUUAUAAUAUUAUAUAUGUUAUACAAUGUAUAAUAUAAUUGAUGUAGCAGAAAAAAAUGAAUUUAUUAAUUGGUUACAAA